rnacentral:rRNA from 1 species
AGCCCAGAGCCUGAAUCAGUGUGUGUGUUAGUGGAAGCGUCUGGAAAGGCGCGCGAUACAGGGUGACAGCCCCGUACACAAAAAUGCACAUGCUGUGAGCUCGAUGAGUAGGGCGGGACACGUGGUAUCCUGUCUGAAUCUGGGGGGACCAUCCUCCAAGGCUAAAUACUCCUGACUGACCGAUAGUGAACCAGUACCGUGAGGGAAAGGCGACAAGAA